GUUUUAACACUGGUUCGCUAUGCAGCAUACCCUAUGCUUGUAAAUGAAUACAGACUAGAGAUUCAAUUCAAGAAAGUUAGGAAGGUGCGAAAUAUUAACAACAUUCCAAUGGUCGGGUGCACCAAUGGUUUGCUAGUCCAAUGCUCUACCCCCAAUGUAGACUUGCCACAAGUCCGUCUCACCAUUCUUCCCUAAUCCCUAGCUUUUUAUUGGGUGAGUAAAGAGGAACCGCGCGCGCGAAAUAAAAAUGAAUGCUUUGAAUGGGAUUUUGCGAAAGUCUAUAUAACCCCAAUGCUGUGCCGCUCUACAACAAUGCUCUACCAACUCAGCUACGACGUCAAUUAGUCCGUGGAGUGGUUGAUAUUUCUUAUGGCUUAAAUCUUAAUUAUGAUCGCGAGAUUACAGCUGAGAUAAUUAUAAAGGACGC